UCGACGCGAAUUUAUCAUCGUAUCCUGCGUGCGUGCUGCACAAACCGGGGACAGCGCCAGCAAGGGCAUUUCCUACGAGCGGCAGGCAUCAUCACAUCGUCCCCGGCGUUAAAUUUUUAAUUAAUCCGGCUUCAGAUCAGACUAGUCCGUGCACGCCACGAAGCCGGCCCGGCCGGAGGGAGAGCAGCGAACCCUACUCUACUUGCUAGGCCUCGGGAUUCUGAGACUGUACACGUGCUGAAGCCCCGGCUUCUGUUUCUGUGCGGUGCGCUCGCCGAUGCAUGCGUCUACUGCUAGACAAGAGAAGAGCACAGCUAGCGCCACAGAUCUGCAAUGCUCUGGACUUGUAAUCUUGCGUGCUGCUAGGCUUCUGUGCACAAGCUGAGACCCAGGCGCAACGCAUGCGCGUGUACGUGGAACCAAAA
rnacentral:lncRNA from 7 species